rnacentral:rRNA from 1 species
GAUGAACGCUGGCGGCGUGCCUAAUACAUGCAAGUAGAACGCAGAAGGUGGAGCUUGCUUCGCUAGACGAGUUGCGAACGGGUGAGUAACGCGUGGGUAACCUGCCUGGCAGCGGGGGAUAAGUCUUGGAAACGAGAGCUAAUACCGCAUAAGAGUAGGUGUUGCAUGACAUUGUGGAAAGAGGUGCAAUUGCGGCAUGACCAGACGGCCUUGCGUUGUAUUAGCUAGUUGUUGGGGUAACGCCGCACCAAGGCGAGGAUACGUAGCCGACCUGCGAGGGGGGUCGGCCACCCUGGGACGGUGACCCGGCCCAGACGCCUUCGGGAGGCAGCCGUAGUGCUUCGUCGGCAAGCGACGGAAGUCUGACCGAGCUACGCCGCGUCAUUGAAGAAGGUUGUCGGGUCGUAGAGCUCGGUUGUCAGGGAGGAACGAGCGUUAGAGUGGAAAGUUCACACUGUGACGGUACCUUACCAGAAAGCACCGGCUAACUACGUG